rnacentral:rRNA from 1 species
UACGUAGGGUGCGAGCGUUAAUCGGAAUUACUGGGCGUAAAGCGCGUUCAGGCGGUUUGGCAAGUCGGGCAUGAAAUCUCUCGGCUCAACCGGGAGAGGUUGUCCGAUACUUCCAGACUUGAGGGCAGUAGAGGGUGGUGGAAUUCCGGGUGUAGUGGUGAAAUGCGUAGAUAUCCGGAGGAACACCGGUGGCGAAAGCGGCCACCUGGACUGCACCUGACGCUGACACGCGAAAGCUAGGGGAGCGAACGGG